CGUCCCGCCGGCGACCGGCGCACGGGUGAGUAACACGUAUGCAACCUGGCCGCCACAGGGGGAUAACCCGCGGAAACGCGGCCUAAUACCCCGUGACGCCACCGGAGGGCAUCCUCCGGUGGCCAAAGGAGCGAUCCGGUGGCGGAUGGGCAUGCGGCGCAUUAGCUAGACGGCGGGGUGACGGCCCACCGUGGCGACGAUGCGUAGGGGUUCUGAGAGGAAGGCCCCCCACACUGGUACUGAGACACGGACCAGACUCCUACGGGAGGCAGCAG
rnacentral:rRNA from 1 species